rnacentral:tRNA from 1 species
AAGGGGAUAGUGUAAAGGUAGCACAACACACUUUGACUGUGUUUGUAUAGGUUCAAAUCCUUUUCCCCUUGCCA